rnacentral:lncRNA from 1 species
UCGUUCUGUGAGUGGUCUGUAAGGCUCUCUCGGGGAGGAGAGCGGUAGGGGGCGCUGGGUGGCGCCCAGGGCCGCUGGAGUGCCCCCGGGAGAUGGUUACCCUCUGCGUUGCAGAAGACCCUGGCGUACUCACUGUCGCUUUAUUUCGUCUAUGUCACAGGCGGGAUCAUGUAGUUGUGGACACAAUCGUCCCAACCUCCCAAGCUGACAUCCUUGGCAAAAGAGGCAUGGGACAAUCAGGGAUCUCCUUGGGCUCACAGAUUAGUGGUGAGUGGUGCUGCUUCUAAGGAGCUGGAAAUACCUGGUUGGGAUGGGAUUCAGUAAAGAAGAUGAGAUCUGGUGGACAGACUGGUUUGGAGCUCUGAGUUUGCUAUCUUCACCUCCUUCCUGCUCUGCUAUGUCCAGGUACACUGUGUUCUCCACGUACACUCUUGUAUUCUGUGGCACCCAAGGUACGCUUUGAUUUUUCCUGGGUACAGGUGCAUAAAGCAUCUCUGU